AGAACGAACGCUGGCGGCAGGCUUAACACAUGCAAGUCGAACGGUUGUAGCAAUACAGCAGUGGCGCACGGGUGAGUAACGCGUGGGAACAUCCCUUUCAGUUCGGAAUAACAGCGGGAAACUGCUGCUAAUACCGAAUAUUCUCUUCGGAGGAAAGAUUUAUCGCUGAAAGAUUGGCCCGCGUCAGAUUAGCUAGUUGGUGAGGUAAUGGCUCACCAAGGCUCCGAUCUGUAGCUGGUCUGAGAGGACGACCAGCCCACACUGGAACUGAGACACGGUCCAGACUCCUACGGGAGGCAGCAGUGGGGAAUAUUGGACAAUGGGCGAAAGCCUGAUCCAGCCAUGCCGCGUGAAUGAUGAAGGCCUUAGGGUUGUAAAGUUCUUUUGCCAGGGAAGAUAAUGACGGUACCUGGAGAAUAAGCACCGGCUAACUUCGUGCCAGCCAGCCGC
rnacentral:rRNA from 1 species